ACUCGACCUACUUGAAAUUGCUGAAUCAGCACUUUCUUCAGUCGGUAAACCAACACUCAAGUAGACGAGCUGUAGACGUAGCGACGUGUUGAUAGUUUGGUAGCUGUAUAAUAAGUGACUCAUUCAACAUCAGUUCCGCCACACUAAUCACGUGACCUCUAUAAAAACCCUCAUUUACAACAACACAUUACAGUUUCAGUUGGUCUGUCUAAAGAUGGCGAACAAGUCGACAAGAGGCUUUGAUCUUAAACAAGAUUAUGAAAUCAGGAAGACCUUAAACAGAGACCAGAUGAUCGAGAAAUUAGAUGAAUGGGCGAAAGGAAAUUAUGAAGCGGAUAUGAAGAUGGUUGGGUAUAAAGGUUUUGAGAGUGUCAGUAAAGCUGUCGGUGAAUUUUACACAGAAAACAGAGAAAAUGUAAAAAUUCUUGAUAUUGGCGCUGGAACUGGUUGGGCUGGCAUGGAGCUACAGAAACUUGGUUUUAAAACAAUGGACGGAGUUGAUCCCAGUAAAGAAAUGAUGAAAGUAGCAGAAAGCAGAAACAUUUAUGAUAAAUAUUUCAUCGAAUACGUUGAUGGUAACAGAUUGCCUAUAGAUACAGGUAGUUACGAUUGUGCGAUAUGUGCCGGUGGAUUUUCAGAAAAUUUGAUACCAACAAAUGCUUUGUUUGAGAUGACGAGGGUCGUGAAACGAGGAGGUAUUGUAUGUUUUUGUAUCCAGGAUAGUAAUUUGGUGAAAGUUGAUGAAUUGAAGGGACGUUUCAUGCCGUUAAUUGGACAGUUUUUAUCUGAAGGAGUCUGGCAGGAAGUGAGAAGGGAAACCAUAACAGAUCUUAUAACUGGUGGAGAUGGCGUUGUCAUGACAUUUAGAGUUUUAAUAUCUGAACCAUCUAUACCUCAAUUACCAGUUCUAAGAAAAUAGACUUUUAAUACAUUGAAGUAAUAAACCUCUACCCAUAAACUGAGUGGCUUCGUCUCAUGAACUUAA